rnacentral:rRNA from 1 species
AGAAUCAACGCUGGCGGCGUGCCUAACACAUGCAAGUCGAACGAGAAAGUGGAGCAAUCCAUGAGUAAAGUGGCGCACGGGUGAGUAACACGUGACUAACCUACCCUUGAGUGGGGGAUAACCUAGGGAAACCUGGGCUAAUACCGCAUAAUACCUUCGGGUCAAAGGAGCAAUUCGCUUUAGGAGGGGGUCGCGGCCGAUUAGUUAGUUGGCGGGGUAAUGGCCCACCAAGACUGUGAUCGGUAUCCGGCCUGAGAGGGCGCACGGACACACUGGAACUGAAACACGGUCCAGACUCCUACGGGAGGCAGCAGUGGGGAAUUUUGCGCAAUGGGGGAAACCCUGACGCAGCAACGCCGCGUGGAGGAUGAAGCCCCUUGGGGCGUAAACUCCUUUCGAUCGGGAAGAUAAUGACGGUACCGAGAGAAGAAGCCCCGGCUAACUUCGCGCCAGCAGCCGC